GACUCUCUCUGUGGCCCGCCAACCUAGUGUGCAGCGUGAGCUUGACUGAGCCGAUGGCACGUGCGGACAGAGUGCGGGUUUUUCCGGACGCCGCUGCAGCUCAGAGUGGGAUGGAAACACCUGCGUUUUCACCGCAUUUGGAUUAUUAUUUACCUUCUGUGACGGCCGGGGCCUCAGCUGUGUAUGUCAAGCGGAACUUGCUCUUCUUCCAGCUGCGGUCGUUGCUGAUCAAGGAGUCGUUGGCCUUCUCGAUGUUUACAUCAUCGCCAACACAGAACACAUCACAGGCAGCCUUGACAAGUAACAUCACGGACACAGGAAAGAAGAGGACGAUUAUUCAAAGUGUCCCUCCACACGGGAAUAACAAAGGAUUUGGGAAAUUAUCUCUUGCAUUCAAAGUAGGACUGCGUCCACCAGCUCAAGGUCAUGGAUGGCCAAACAUCUUUAAGUUGCUACCUUGACUGUUGGGGUUGUUUUCAAGGAAUGAGGGGGACUUCUGACUUCAUUUGUGUGGUUUCACAGAAAACAUGGGACCAUAUUUAUAUCAAAACAUAGCAAUGACAAGUAAUCAUCAUGCUAAUCAUGAAUUAAAGUUAAAAACUAUUUGUAUGGUGUGCCCAUUCCAAGAACACCAAUCCAUUUAUUAUGUAUGGGGGUGGGAAUGGUUUCAUGUAAGAAUCGAGAUUAUUGUGUUAUUUUGCGAAAACAUAAAAAAGACAGCUAGCCUAACCCCACCAAUUUCAUUUAUGUAACAGGCAACAUUUUAUUUAUGUUUGUAACUUGUUAUUCUGGAAGUCACUGAGAAUUGAGAAAUUCUCAGGUUGGCCUUUGUGUGUUUACAUUA